AUGUUUACUUCAGCAGCACAUAUACUAAAAUUGGAGCAAUACAGAGAAGAUCAGGAUGGCCCCUGCACAAGGAUCAUGCCCAAAUUUGUGAAGUAUUCAAGUAUUUU
ensembl:snRNA U6 U6 spliceosomal RNA